rnacentral:rRNA from 2 species
CUGGUGUCAGCCGCCGCGGUAAUACCAGCACCCCGAGUGGUCGGGACGAUUAUUGGGCCUAAAGCAUCCGUAGCCGGCCUUACAAGUCCUCCGUUAAAUCCAGCUGCUUAACAGAUGGGCUGCGGAGGAUACUAUAAGACUAGGAGGCAGGAGAGGCAAGCGGUACUCAGUGGGUAGGGGUAAAAUCCGUUGAUCCAUUGAAGACCACCAGUGGCGAAGGCGGCUUGCCAGAAUGCGCUCGACGGUGAGGGAUGAAAGCUGGGGGAGCAAACCGGAUUAGAUACCCGGGUAGUCCCAGCUGUAAACGAUGCAGACUCGGUGAUGGACUAGCUUUAUGCUGGUCCAGUGCCGCAGGGAAGCCGUUAAGUCUGCCGCCUGGGUAGUACGAUCGCAAGACUGAAACUUAAAGGAAUUGGCGGGGGAGCACCACAAGGGGUGAAGCCUGCGGUUCAAUUGGAGUCAACGCCGGGAAUCUUACCGGGGGCGACAGCAGGAUGAAGGUCAAGCUGAAGACUUUACUAGACAAGCU